rnacentral:rRNA from 1 species
UACGUAGGGUGCGAGCGUUAAUCGGAAUUACUGGGCGUAAAGCGUGCGCAGGCGGUUCGCCAAGUCAGGUGUGAAAUCCCCGGGCUUAACCUGGGAACGGCCGUUGAAACUGGCGAACUGGAGUGUGGCAGAGGGGGGUGGAAUUCCGCGUGUAGCAGUGAAAUGCGUAGAGAUGCGGAGGAACACCGAUGGCGAAGGCAGCCCCCUGGGCUAACACUGACGCUCAGGCACGAAAGCGUGGGGAGCAAACAGG